CCUACGGGAGGCUGCAGUGGGGAAUAUUGCACAAUGGGGGAAACCCUGAUGCAGCGACGCCGCGUGAGUGAAGAAGUAUUUCGGUAUGUAAAGCUCUAUCAGCAGGAACGAGACAAGACGGUACCUGACUAAGAAGCCCCGGCUAACUACGUGCCAGCAGCCGCGGUAAUACGUAGGGGGCAAGCGUUAUCCGGAAUCACUGGGUGUAAAGGGAGCGUAGACGGCUGUGCAAGCCUGAAGUGAAAGGCGGGGGCCCAACCCCUGGACUGCUUUGGGAACUGUACGGCUGGAGUGCAGGAGAGGUAAGUGGAAUGCGCAGUGUAGCGGUGAAAUGCUUAGAUAUUGCGCAGAACUCCGAUUGCGAAGGCAGCAUACCGGCGGCGAUCUGACGCUGAGGCACGAAAGCGUGGGUAUCGAACAGGAUUAGAUACCCUGGUAGUC
rnacentral:rRNA from 1 species